CUACGGGGGGCACCAGUAAGGAAUAUUGCACAAUGGGCGAAAGCCUGAUGCAGCAACGCCGCGUGAGCGAUGAAGCCUCUAGGGGUGUAAAGCUCUUUUCUGUGGGACGAGGAAGGACGGUACCACAGGAAUAAGUCUCGGCUAACUACGUGCCAGCAGCCGCGGUAAUACGUAGGAGACGAGCGUUAUCCGGAUUUAUUGGGCGUAAAGAGCAUGUAGGCGGGCUCUCAAGUCGGACGUGAAAUCUCUCGGCUCAACUGAGAGGGGUCGUUCGAAACUAGGAGUCUUGAGGGCAGGAGAGGGGAGUAGAAUUCCCGGUGUAGUGGUGGAAUACGUAGAUAUCGGGAGGAAUACCAGUGGCGAAGGCGGCUCCCUGGCCUGUGCCUGACGCUGAGAUGCGAAAGCGUGGGUAGCGAACGGGAUUAGAUACCCUGGUAGUC
rnacentral:rRNA from 1 species